rnacentral:rRNA from 1 species
AUGUACCUCCAAAUACCCUAAAGGCAUCAGAUUCCAUCUGAUCUUGGAAGUUAUGCAGGGUCAGCUGGGGUUAGUACUCGGAUGAGAGACCGCCAACGAAUACUAGACAGUAUUUC